AUUGAACGCUGGCGGCAGGCCUACCACAUGCAAGUCGAGCGAGCGGCGGACGGGUGCGUAAUGUCUGGGAACCUGCCUGCUGGAGGGGGCUACCUACUGGAAACGGUAGCUAAUACCGCAUACCAUCAGAUGUGCCCAGAUGGGAGUAGCUAGUAGGUGGGGUAACGGCUCACCUAGGCGACUAUCCCUAGCUGGUCUGAGAGGAUGACCAGCCACACGGGAACUGAGACACGGUCCAGACUCCUACGGGAGGCAGCAGUGGGGAAUAGUGCACAAUGGGCGCAAGCCUGAUGCAGCCAUGCCGCGUGUGUGAAGAAGGCCGUCGGGUUGUAAAGCACUUUCAGCGGGGAGGCGUUACCCGCAGAAGAAGCACCGGCUAACUCCGUGCCAGCAGCCGCGGUAAUAC
rnacentral:rRNA from 1 species